UCGUCGUCGUCGUUGGUGUUGGACUAAGAACAUAAAAGUACCUACAUCCGCUCGUUUUAUUCACAAGAGAGAAGAGGAAAAGUCCAUGAAACUAGUCUGCCGACGUCCAUCAUUUCAUCGGCGUUACGUCUUCGCAAGCAGAAUGAAAUCGUGUCUUGAAUAUCUUUCAUGUGGAAAAAAGAAAAUAUAGAUGUUCCAAGAAAUCGAAUAAUCAAUGACGUGAAUGAUCAGUGAGUUAAAGUUUUGUUUACCCUAUUAGGCAUUUAAAAGUGUUAUGUCUAUCCCAAUUUGUGUAAGUUAACAAAGUACGGAAUUCUAUAGAUUGGAUACUCCUCGCAGGGAACUCAUCCACUCUCUCUCGUGUAGUAGAAACGAAGGGAAGUCAUCUUUGAAGGAGUAGCAUGGAAGAGAUCGAUCGGAAAGUGCUUUCGAGAAGACCGCGGUAGACGUCGUCGACUUGAGGUUGUGAGUUGCACGCGACAAUGGCUGGCGUGGGCGGCUGCGACGUUCUUCCUCAAAGGUGUUUAGAAAUCAGAGAGUCGGGGCUCGCCUCGGAGGAGCCCUGGAGGAGUCAUUGUUUCAUCGCCAUUCCAGCGAACAACAAACAACGAUGACGAAGUUUCGAGAACGACGAUUCUAUGCUACGAAACAGCUACUCUUGCAUAACGAUCUGAUUGUUUAUAAAUUAUACAACUAUCUUUCAAUAUACGGCGCCUUACUUAUUCUCGUUCUUUACGAUUAUGAUCGUGUAAAAGGGGUUAAAAAAUAUAGAUAAGAGAAAAGGAUGGAACAAUUUUUGGAAGAGUUUCUAUCAUCGAAAGAGAACUUCUCUCUUGACUUAUGACUUCCGUUUGGAACAUUCAAACUUCAACGAACGAUAUACACGAACCGUUUCUAUUUUCCGAUGAGUUACAACUUCCUUAUUUCGAUAAGAUAUGUCGAUACGUUGGAAACAACACGAUCGAAAGUGCAUUUUAAGAUUUAGAAGAAUAGAGAGGAAAAGGAACUACAUAAAAUCCUUAAGAAUUGAACGUUAAUUAAAUUACUCGAUUACAUAACAAUGAAUCAAUUAUUUUCUAUGUUUCUGUUUUUUUUUAAAUAUAUUUUCCUUAUCGAAAAUACAUAAAUGACAAUGUAUAAACAAUAUUCCUUACUAACUAAACUCACAGACGGACGACAUUCCAAACAGAAAGAUAAAGGUUAUCGAAGUCUAGUCUCCAUAACAGACGGCACCGACUUCGUAAGAGGUACCGCAGACGAGAAAGAACUUAACGGGAGAAACGGGACGAGAAGGGAAGGAACGGUUUUGGGCUGAAGAAAAAUGCAAAAGACCACCUAGAUCGGAAAACACGAAAACAUGAUUCUUAAGUAUAGUUCGUGUUAACUUCGUGAUUUAAAAGUCUCGCAGACCAAAUGUAAAACGUUUGGAGGAACGCGUCUCACGGUUUAGUCGAGAUCGAAAAUUUAUAUCGUCUCGUAGGUGCCAUUACUUUUUCUUUUGAAUUUGUCGAUACAAUUUUCAACUUUUCUCUUGAGAUACGUCUCAUCGCGGGAAUUAAAUGGCCGCUAUUCCAUUUAUAUCGAUGGAUGCGUAAAUGCAUAUCCUUUGCAGGACGCCUCCAUAGUCGUUGUAAAGAUCAGGAUUUCAGUGUGAUGCCAGCCACGUUUUAAACUGAGCGACGACCGUCGUUUGUCAGAUGUUUCCUGUGCUCCUCCGAACUAGGAAAUGUUAUCCUUGAGAGAAAGAAAAUGAAGAAGAAGAUGAAGAAAAGAGAAAGAAGAAGAAGAAAAAUGAGAAAGAGAAAGAUAACGGGUCUUUACUAAAUAAUUCAUCUUCAUUCCACAUUCACCGAUCAACGACGACAACGACGACGACGACGACAACAACGACGACAACGUGGACUCGCUUUAAGACUCGAAAUCGAUUCUACAGAGGCUCCUCCGAACGUCGUAUUUUUUUCACGGUCACGCAAAGAGAGUAGUGAGAGCAUUUGUCGGACUGUAAAUUGGCUGGCAUGCGAGAGAAAGAAAGAGAAGGAGAGAAAAAGUAAGAGAAGGAGAGCCUUCACCAUCGGCUCUUGUCGCCCGAGGUUUGCCAGUGUCGAGGUCCGAUUCAACAAUGGCUCCUCUCCCAGAGAAAAAUCGCUGCACACGAAGCUGCACACGCGCACGUCCAGAGGAAAAGAGAGACGGAGACGAAGCCGAAGAAGAAGGAGAAGAGGAGGACGAAGAAGUAAGUAGAAGCGGCGCGCGGUUACAUUAACAAACAAUGGCUUGGAGGGGUUCGCGUACGCUCGAGGAAAGAAAUGAUGCUUACGCUGCCGGACGAGUUCUCUCCAAGACGAAGAGAAAACGCGAAGAAGAAGAAGAAGAAGAAAAGGACGAAGAAGAAAAAAGAAGAGAAAUCGACGUCGAGAAACGGAAGCCAACCACCGCUAGUCGUUGAGUCUUCAGCUAACGAGAUGUAACUGAGGAACGUUUCUUUAAAUCCUUCGAGAUGUUUGUAAGCGUGGCUUGUUUUAUUCCAUUCCAACUGUAAUCAGGGGAGGAGGGGUAAAAUUUUAUAAAACGAGACGAGAGACGAUGUCGAAUAGUACCUAGGGAAUAAUUUGUCUGCGAGAGAAGAAAGGGCAAAAGGAUUAUGUAACAGAUUUUCAAGCUUCUACUUAUACGGGAUGUUUCAGUGAAAAGCAUGGGAGGUUCAAAGUAGUCGAGACUCUGUUUCUGUUUGUCUGUUUGUCUCUCUAUCUCUCUCUUUAUCUUUCUUCUUUCCUCACGGUCAAAGAUUCUUCCUCUUCGUAUGUGAGAUGCGUCUGGUACCUUCAUUAGAAUAAUUGCGUAGCGCGGUAUGAUUAAGUGCACCCUAUACAUUUUUAGACGUUACACGUACGAACUUUUUUUUUAUCAUUUCCUUGUACGGAUACGCAAAUUGCACGUAAAUGAUUUGCGUAUCUGUGUUUUUAAUCAUUAUCAUUGAAAUAAAUCGAUGAAAAAUCAUCUUAUAUCUUCUCUAUCCAUAUCCCCAUAUCCAAAUCAAGAAAUUUGAUCGCUAAACGUAUCUUCUUCCUAAAAAAUGAGAAAGUCUCUAAAACAUGAUCCCAUUUAUACAAAGGUCACUUCUACGGACAAACUUCUCCCACGCUGAUAUCAUUUCUAUUAUUAUCUGUAUCUCGUGUCGUUGCGAAUGACGUCGUCCAUACCGACAUCGUCCAGCUCGUCGUCCACACCGCGAGAGAAUUAGCAAGCACGAAAGACAACUAUGUAUGACCCCGAAGUGAAACGGUACGCGGAUAACGUAGUUACUUAGUUACUUAGUAACUUCAAGGAGCUUCAUGGAGAAGCAGGAAGCAGGCGAAAGCAAGGACUACGAGGAGCAAGAAGACAUCGUGUCUUUACAACGAACAAUAAGAACAAUAAGAGAAUAAGACGCGUCCAUUCGUCCAAACGUAACACCACGAGCAUUCGUUCCCACGAAUCUCUUAGAUGCUUUCGAAAUUUGUAACUCGUCUCUAACGGCGAAUGCAAAGAAACGAAAUGAGAACACUACAAAUGAUUUAAAACACUUUUACGGGCACAUUGAUAUAUCACUGUAUCCGUGUUACAGUUUUUAAAAAAAUUACGAAAUUGAUUAUUAUUUAUCACACGUUAUUUUUUUUAAUACGCAAUUAUGAAAAUAUUUAUAGAUUUUAAUUUUCUUCAUUAUUUGUUUGUUCAUUAACUAAGAUAUU